rnacentral:rRNA from 1 species
GUGUCAGCAGCCGCGGUAAGACGAGGGAUCCUAGCGUUGUUCGGAAUCAUUGGGCGUAAAGAGUAUGUAGGCGGCCUUGUAAGUCAGUUGUGAAAGCCCCGGGCUCAACCCGGGAAGUGCAAUUGAUACUGCUUGGCUUGAAUGUGGAAGAGGGCAGUAGAAUUCCAGGUGUAGUGGUGAAAUACGUAGAUAUCUGGAGGAAUACCGGUGGCGAAGGCGGCUGCCUGGUCCUACAUUGACGCUGAGAUACGAAAGCAUGGGGAGCAAACAGGAUUAGAUACCCUGGUAGUCC